GUGGAAUUCCAGUUUUGGGAGGCAGGAUGGCAGCAGGAAUGGACCCAGCAGGGUAUUUUGACAGGAGGUCAGGAGGAGAGGACUGAGACUGAGGAGGCCUCGAUGCUCUGCUGGGUUCCCCCAUCCCCAAACCAGGUGGGUACAGGGAGAAACUGCCCAUAGAAAAAAAAAAAAAACCAAAAAAAAAACCCAAGCAAACCCGUCAUGGUUUCUCAGGACAGGCUGGAGAACCAGCAGGAAAUUCUGCUCCUGCCCUGAGCUCAUCCCCCAGCGUGGGCAGCAGGAUGAGAAACAGAAUCCCCCCCCCCGCCCCUCUCAGGUGAAACCUCACCUGCAGAGCUCAGCCCUGCCAUCAACAUCAGGAGGAGCUGGAGCUGCUGGAGAGAGUCCAGAGGAGGCCACAGAGCUGCUCCAGGGCUGGGAGCAGAGUUUGGGUUUCCAGAGCUCCCAGAGACCCUUUCCAGCCUCCUCCUGCCCUUCCCAAGCAAAGGUCAGAUCCCGCUCCCACCUUGGGGUGUUCCCAGCACAGGAAGGACCUGGAGCUGCUGCAGGGCUGAGCCCCUCUGGAGCCAGGCUGGGAGAGCUGGGGGUGACACCUGCAGAGGAGAAGCUCCAGGAGAGCUCAGAGCCCCUGGCAGGGCCUGGAGGGGCUCCAGGAGAGCUGCAGAGGGACUGGGGACAAGGCAGGGAGGGACAGGAGCCAGGGAAUGGCUCCCACUGCCAGAGGGCAGGGCUGGCUG
rnacentral:lncRNA from 12 species